rnacentral:rRNA from 1 species
UUGCCCUAGUAACGGCGAGUGAAGCGGCAACAGCUCAAAUUUGAAAUCUGGCUCUUUUAGAGUCCGAGUUGUAAUUUGCAGAGGGCGCUUUGGCUUUGGCAGCGGUCCAAGUUCCUUGGAACAGGACGUCACAGAGGGUGAGAAUCCCGUACGUGGUCGCUGGCUAUUGCCGUGUAAAGCCCCUUCGACGAGUCGAGUUGUUUGGGAAUGCAGCUCUAAAUGGGAGGUACAUUUCUUCUAAAGCUAAAUAUUGGCCAGAGACCGAUAGCGCACAAGUAGAGUGAUCGAAAGAUGAAAAGCACUUUGGAAAGAGAGUCAAACAGCACGUGAAAUUGUUAAAAGGGAAGCGCUUGCAGCCAGACUUGCUUGCAGUUGCUCAUCCGGGCUUUUGCCCGGUGCACUCUUCUGUAGGCAGGCCAGCAUCAGUUUGGGCGGUAGGAUAAAGGUCUCUGUCACGUACCUCCUUUCGGGGAGGCCUUAUAGGGGAGACGACAUACUACCAGCCUGGACUGAGGUCCGCGCAUCUGCUAGGAUGCUGGCGUAAUGGCUGUAAGCGGCCCGUCUUGAAACACGGACCAAGGAGUCUAACAUCUAUGCGAGUGUUUGGGUGUCAAGCCCGAGCGCGUAAUGAAAGUGAACGGAGGUGGGAACCCGCAAGGGUGCACCAUCGACCGAUCCUGAUGUCUUCGGAAGGAUUUGAGUAAGAGCAUGGCUGUUGGGACCCGAAAGAUGGUGAACUAUGCUUGAAUAGGGUGAAGCCAGAGGAAACUCUCGUGGAGGCUCGCAGCGGUU